rnacentral:misc_RNA from 1 species
GGAAUAUUGCACAAUGGGCGCAAGCCUGAUGCAGCCAUGCCGCGUGUAUGAAGAAGGCCUUAGGGUUGUAAAGUACUUUCAGCGGGGAGGAAGGCGAUAAGGUUAAUAACCUUGUCGAUUGACGUUACCCGCAGAAGAAGCACCGGCUAACUCCGUGCCAGCAGCCGCGGUAAUACGGAGGGUGUAAGCGUUAAUCGGAAUUACUGGGCGUAAAGCGCACGCAGGCGGUCUGUCAAGUCGGAUGUGAAAUCCCCGGGCUCAACCUGGGAACUGCAUUCGAAACUGGCAGGCUAGAGUCUUGUAGAGGGGGGUAGAAUUCCAGGUGUAGCGGUGAAAUGCGUAGAGAUCUGGAGGAAUACCGGUGGCGAAGGCGGCCCCCUGGACAAAGACUGACGCUCAGGUGCGAAAGCGUGGGGAGCAAACAGGA